rnacentral:rRNA from 1 species
UACGAAGGGGGCUAGCGUUGCUCGGAAUGACUGGGCGUAAAGGGUGCGUAGGCGGCGCGGAAAGUUGGGUGUGAAAUCCCUCGGCUCAACCGAGGAACUGCGCCCAAAACUGCCGUGCUUGAGGGAGAUAGAGGUGAGCGGAACUUAGGGUGGAGCGGUGAAAUGCGUUGAUAUCCUAAGGAACACCGGUGGCGAAAGCGGCUCACUGGAUCUCUUCUGACGCUGAGGCACGAAAGCUAGGGUAGCGAACGGG